CGCGUAGGCGGUUUCUAAAGUCAGAUGUGAAAGCCCGGGGCUCAACCCUGGAAGUGCAUUUGAAACUUAGGGACUUGAGUAUGGGAGAGGGAAGUGGAAUUCCUGGUGUAGCGGUGAAAUGCGUAGAUAUCAGGAGGAACAUCGGUGGCGAAGGCGACUUCCUGGACCAAUACUGACGCUGAGGCGCGAAGGCGUGGGGAGCAAACA
rnacentral:rRNA from 1 species